rnacentral:rRNA from 1 species
GAUGAACGCUAGCGGCAGGCCUAAUACAUGCAAGUCGAACGGUGUCUUCGGACAUAGUGGCGCACGGGUGCGUAACGCGUAUGCAACCUACCUUACAUUGGGGGAUAGCCUUUCGAAAGGGAGAUUAAUACCGCAUAAGACAGUAGCUGGGCAUCCAGCAGCUGUUAAAGAUUUAUCGAUGUAAGCUGGGCAUGCGUCCAAUUAGCUAGUUGGUGAGGUAACGGCUCACCAAGGCAAUGAUUGGUAGGGGAACUGAGAGGUCAAUCCCCCACACUGGCACUGAGAUACGGGCCAGACUCCUACGGGAGGCAGCAGUAGGGAAUAUUGGGCAAUGGACGCAAGUCUGACCCAGCCAUUCCGCGUGCAGGAUGAAGGCCCUCGGGUUGUAAACUGCUUUUGUACGGAACGAAAAGGCUCUGGUUAAUACCCGGGGCUCAUGACGGUACCGUAAGAAUAAGCACCGGCUAACUACGUGCCAGCAGCCGCCGCAGUAA